AGAGUUUGAUCAUGGCUCAGGAUGAACGCUAGCGGCAGGCUUAAUACAUGCAAGUCGAACGGCAGCACGAGUAGCAAUACUUGGUGGCGAGUGGCGCACGGGUGCGUAACGCGUAUGCAAUCUACCUUUAACUGGAGAAUAGCCCGAAGAAAUUCGGAUUAAUACUCCAUAGUUUUAUGAAGUAGCAUUACUUUAUAAAUAAAGCUACGGCGGUUAAAGAUGAGCAUGCGUGACAUUAGCUAGUUGGUGAGGUAAUGGCUCACCAAGGCUACGAUGUCUAGGGGUACUGAGAGGUUUAACCCCCACACUGGUACUGAGACACGGACCAGACUCCUACGGGAGGCAGCAGUAAGGAAUAUUGGUCAAUGGACGCAAGUCUGAACCAGCCAUGCCGCGUGCAGGAUGAAGGCCCUAUGGGUUGUAAACUGCUUUUGUACGGGAAAAAACCCUUCUACGUGUAGAAGGCUGAUGGUACCGUAAGAAUAAGGAUCGGCUAACUCCGUGCCAGCAGCCGCGGUAAUACGGAGGAUCCAAGCGUUAUCCGGAUUCAUUGGGUUUAAAGGGUGCGUAGGCGGGAUAGUAAGUCAGUGGUGAAAGCCUGCAGCUUAACUGCAGAACUGCCAUUGAUACUGCUAACCUAGAGUACAGCUGAUGUGGGCGGAAUGUGUCGUGUAGCGGUGAAAUGCUUAGAUAUGACACA
rnacentral:rRNA from 1 species